rfam:Schistosoma mattheei strain Denwood, Zambia genome assembly, scaffold: SMTD_scaffold0002999
AUCCAGCUGAUAAGUCCCAAAAAGGACGAAAUGCGCGUCCUGGAU